AAGUCCACAAAGCCCAUUAUCACCCUCCAAAAAAAAAAAAAAAACACUCCCAAGUCUCAAUGCAUCUCCGUUACCGGAGAGCAGCUCGCCCGCUCAAAUUCUCUAGGUUAGUCCCUUUCUUUGAUUUAUCUCUCUCUCUCUCUCUGUUCUCUAAUGGACUAUGAUUUCAACAAAUACACAGCUCUCUCUCUUUCUCAGAAUAGAAAUUAAAUAAAAUCGGCGAAAACGUGAAAGAAUGGCUGAGAAAUUGGCUCCAGAGAAGCGCCACAGCUUCGUCCGUGAAGAUAAAACUGUAUUUGAGUGGGAUCAAACCCUCGAAGAGGUGAAUAUUUACAUAAAUUUACCGCCAAAUGUUCACUCUAAGCAGUUUUACUGCAAGAUUCAGUCCAAACAUGCCUUCAUUAGCAUGUCAAGAAAUCCUGACGAUCUUCUGGUAAACGGCACGAGUAUUUGUGUUUCUCCCUUCAGUCCUGAGACUUUAAUUAGCCUACCAGUCUUGUAGCAAUAUUUGUAAUAAGCGGAUGUGCUCAGUUUGUUUCUUGCUUUUGCAACUGUAAAGUGUAAAUCAAAGUGUUUUUUUUUUGCGAUCUUUCUCCCAGUGUGCCUGAUCGCUAUAGUUAAAAAUCCCAUGUCUCUCUUUUUUUGGGCUACAGAAGCAAAUUUACGUACCCAAACCAGUCUUAACAAGUUUAUUAAGUGAUGGAUGAAUUAUUUCUAGAAA